CUCAGACCUGUUUGAGAUGGGUGACCCCACCAGUACCAUUAAACCCGAGAAACGAAGCUCCCAGGAUCAUUUGGACACACAAACCCCUCCACCAUGAUGAGAUGACGGGUUCCAGAGUCGGUCAAGUCAAGUUUUUCCACUUCUCAUCGAACAACAUUCAAGACUGUAAAUUCAGUCAAGACAGUGUUUGGGACUCACCUAUAUCUGCAGUGAAUGUUGGACGUGGGCUGGAAAUACCCCUCAAGAAUUGGACGCCCUCGGAUUACCGCCAACCCUGGCAAGGUGUUCC